GGCGGACAACCAGGCGAAUGGGAAACGGAUGGCACAGAUUCAGAUCUCUUUGAAUUGGACAGCUACAUUUAUAUAUCAGUGAGACGAAGGAUUACAGCGCUGAUGAGGAACAUGUAAAUGCAGUUGAGGACAUGAGAGCUUUGGUGGUGCCUGAAAGAGAUGAGUGCAGCAAUAUAAGUGCAGAUUCUACAAUAGUUCCUGUUCCGAAAGUAGAACCAAUGUUUUUGAAGCCUGAGGUUCAUGAUAAUCCCCAGGAACACCGUAAUUUCAAGGAACAUGCCGUCUCACAGGAACAUGCCACAGGAACAAGGCAUCUCACAGG